GUCACAAAUCUCUACCCACCCCAUCCAUGUACCACCUGUGUCUGGUGCCCGCAGGACAGGACCAUCCCCAGCCUCGUCUCGACCCACAGCCCCCCGCCUGUGUCCUGUCGCAGCCACCUUGCACUUGAUGGUCACCCAUGUCGCUGUGCAGACCCAGAGUUCCUCUCUGACUCCAAGUGAUGCUCUGCACCGUGUACCUGCCUGUUUGGUGAGCCUCUCGCCCCUGGAAGGACAUCUGACUGGUCUCCAGUUUCUGGCUGUUACCAAUAAAUCGGCUGCUACACCCUCCAGGACUGUGAUAAGACUGGUGAGAUCAGACAUCUCUGCCCUGUUCCUUACCUUAGGAGAAAGCAUUCCAUUCAGUCCUCAC